UGCAUGGUGUUGUGAGCAGA
rnacentral:sRNA from 1 species